ACGGAAGGUAGCAGUGGGGAAUAUUGGGCAAUGGGCGAAAGCCUGACCCAGCAACGCCGCGUGAAGGAAGAAGGUUUUCGGAUUGUAAACUUCUUUUAUCAGGGACGAAGAAAGUGACGGUACCUGAUGAAUAAGCCACGGCUAACUACGUGCCAGCAGCCGCGGUAAUACGUAGGUGGCAAGCGUUAUCCGGAUUUACUGGGUGUAAAGGGUGCGUAGGCGGGGAUGCAAGUCAGGUGUGAAAUCUAUGGGCUUAACCCAUAAACUGCAUUUGAAACUGUAUCUCUUGAGUGUCGGAGAGGUAGACGGAAUUCCUAGUGUAGCGGUGAAAUGCGUAGAUAUUAGGAGGAACACCAGUGGCGAAGGCGGUCUACUGGACGAUAACUGACGCUGAGGCGCGAAAGCGUGGGGAGCAAACAGGAUUAGAUACCCUGGUA
rnacentral:rRNA from 1 species